CCUACGGGUGGCUGCAGUGGGGAAUAUUGCACAAUGGGGGAAACCCUGAUGCAGCGACGCCGCGUGAGUGAAGAAGUAAUUCGUUAUGUAAAGCUCUAUCAGCAGGGAAGAAAAUUCCGGUACCUGAGUAAGAAUCCCCGGCUAACUACGUGCCAGCAGCCGCGGUAAUACUUAGGGGGCAAGCGUUAUCCGGAUUUACUGGGUGUAACGGGAGCGUAGACGGCUGUGCAAGCCUGAAGUGAAAGGCGGGGGCCCAACCCCUGGACUGCUUUGGGAACUGUACGGCUGGAGUGCAGGAGAGGUAAGUGGAAUUCCUAGUGUAGCGGUGAAAUGCGUAGAUAUUAGGAGGAACACCAGUGGCGAAGGCGGCUUACUGGACUGUAACUGACGUUGAGGCUCGAAAGCGUGGGGAGCAAACAGGAUUAGAUACCCCUGUAGUC
rnacentral:rRNA from 1 species